rnacentral:lncRNA from 1 species
GAAAAGUUGAGAAUAUUAAGCCCCUUAAUUUAGAAGUUACAAAUGCAUAUAAAUGCAUAUUUUGUGCUAUUUUAUAUAUAUUUGAUAUUCUUGCAUAUGAAAGAAAUGUUAUUUUAAUGAAUAGGAAAAAAAAACAAGUUUUUAAUAAAAUAUGUUUUUUUAUUUAUGUUGGUACUUUUUAAUAAUUUUUAGUAAUUUUUAAUAAAAUCAUUUGGCAAUACUGAAUGGAGUGAGGAAUCAGUUGCUUGACAAGGUGGACAAUGCUAAGAAUUUUCCUGAUGUUGCUCUAUAGUUAGAUUUGAAAGUUAUUUUCUCAAGUGAAAAUAACUAUUGCAACUUUUAGAAUAGAGUUUAGUAUAGAUAUUAUGUUUUAAUGUGCUUUUAGGAAUAAGUCCCAUUAGCAACUCAUUCAAUACAAAUAUUUAUGAAUAACUUCACAAACACACUACAUAAAAGAGCAGAAGAAACCAAUAUUAGCACAUUUAAAUAGUUGUGACACUUUAGUGUUCUGGUUACUAUUUAUUUUGCCUCUCUUGCUGACCUCUUGACUUCUCCAACUCUCUCUCCAGGCUUUCCCAAUCAUACAAGAACACACAGUGUUGACCUGCCCAGGUUGAAGAAUUUGCAGAUAUCAAUCUAUGUCACAGUAUAUAAUCCAAGAGCAGUAUAUAGUUUCAAACAUAUGGAGAUAUCACAGUAUAAUAUUUUACUAUUAAGUUUAGGAUUUAAAACAGAGAUACCAAAAGUAAAAUCUAAUUCUUGUGCGAAGUGUAGAGAAUAUCUCCCAGAACUCGGGAAAAAUAUUUUCAAUGGACAAUUCCGUUUCUAUGCAGACCAUGUAAUAAAGCCAUUGCAUGAUAUAGCAAACAAUAGCAAGUUCUGCAGCAUCUUGCUAAAAAAUUUCACACUGAUAUCAUUACUUGUAAAAAAGUAGACCAGUUUAGUUCUGCUAAUAUAAAGUCCAAGACCAGAUACAAAAAAAGUCUCAGUUUUUGACAGAUUUAUGUGAAGCUUUUGUUAAUGCAGAUAUCUCCUUUCACAAACUAAAGAAAUAUG